CGGGACGGCGUUGCCCCCGCGCUGUCGGGCGGCUCGGGGCGCUCCGGUCGCUUCUUCUGAAGGGGGGGGGCGCGGGUGGCCUUUCCCGCCCCGAGGAACAGCCGGCCGUACCUGGGAACGGAGCGGGAAAGCUGGUUUUUCUAACCAACGACUCCUGCAGCUUAUCUCUAUCCCCUCAGCCGUAAAAAAUGAAGGAAAAAAAAGAGAAAAAAUGGUCAGAAAACUAAAGACAGUGGUAAUUUCACACUUUUCUUAAGCCAGGAGGAGCUCUCUCACGUUCCCCUGUAGGUGACGCCAGGUGGUGCAGCGAGCAUGAUGUAAAUUCUUCUUUUUCAAAAUGUUUUUGAAAGGAGUAACGGCAAACGCGCGUGACGAGCGCGUGAUGAGCGCUUCCGUUUGACAGGUGUCGUUCCGUGCCUGCCACUGGCGUCCCAAGAGGUUGUGCGGUUUUAUUCGAACUGUAGAAGUUUGAUGUAAUAAAACGCGUUCUCCCUCUACAAAUCUGGACUUGCUCGUGCACAAAUUGGAACGGCUUUUUGUACGGAUGCGUGUAUGAGCCCAGCACGGCGGACUGUGGCAGAGUAUCCAGGCUCAGUUGGCAGCGCAAGGGAAUUGCUGAUGAUAGCGCGGCUCUCCGGGCAGACUUAUUUAUCGUGGGGUGACCCGAUACGUGUUACGCUACGUGACGCCAAGCUGGACUACGCCUGCAGCAGAACGGGCAACACAGAGGGGGGCCUAGAGCAGCGCCCCGGUUGUGUGAAAACUGGUAGUUCGCGGCUGCACGCCAAUACAGAUGUGACAGCUGAGGCAGUAGGUGUAGCUAUCGCUGCACCUCCGUCAGAAGGGGAGGCAAACGCAGAGCUGUGUCGCUACCUCUCUAAGGUGCUAGAAGUGAAGAAGAGUGAAGUUAUUUUAGAGAAGGGUGGUAAAUCGCGUGAAAAAGUGGUGAAGAUUUUGGUAUCGAUGACGCCAGAUGAGAUUUUAGAAAAACUGAAAAAAGAAGCUUCCGGUUGACCUAAGGCAAGAGCGAGAAAUGGGACAAUGCAUCUUGGUAAAUGGACUGAUAUUCUUUCUUACGUAAAUCUAGUCCUGCUGAGAAUGUGGGUAAUGACUAGGGAAAGAUGCUUCUCUUCCCCCGCCCGCCCUUGUUAAUAUAGCUGCUGUAUAGUUGAAGUUUUUGUGUAGGUUUGGUUAGAAAAACUUGUCUUUACUGAGGCUCCGCAUCUGCUUCUGUCACUACAGACUUUUUUCCCCCUCUGGAGAGUUUCCCGUUGGUAAGAUUUGUCCUCUCCCCUGGUCCCUAAACAAAUGGUUUAGAAAACUUGUUUCUUAGGGAAACAAACUUUGGUUACCAAAGUGAAAGGCUUGGGGUGACAGGCUUCCAUGCGAGAAGAAAAGUGGUACCAAAGGAUGAGUCUGGAUGGUAAAGACCCUAGAAGAAUGUUCUCUUCAAUAUCUAGCGGCAGGCAAGCGAAAAGCAGAAUCACCUGAAUAACUGAAACAAAACCAGAAGUUUGCAGUAUGAAAAACGGAUCCAGAGCCCAGUGGUUGUGUACGCGGUGUCACAUUGUGAUAGUCUGUAAUCCGUUUCCUGAAAAGCAGAGAUACGAUCACGUAUCUUUGCCAAAUGUAUGUCAAGUGUAAUGGCUGUUUUUAAUAAAAGGGGCAAAAACUGUUAUCA